CUUUUGUUUGUGACUAAGUCUCCGCCUGUCAGCGUUUUGACUGGGGCUGCUCCAGGUACUGUACCCUGCUGACACUGAUGGUUGCACAGUGCAUAUCCCAUGCACUCAGGCUGAAAACUCAACCUGGCAUUUUCCUGGAGCUGGAUUGGAGAAAGGGGAGACGGAGCACUCUCGCACUGACAGGUGUCUGCCACCGCAGCUGACGUUGAGACAACCCUCACUCUACCUACAGUCCUCAUCUGAUACUGCUUGCUUCAGGUGGAACCGGGCAAGUCACUACUGGACGGCAAUGGAUGAUCACCCUUGAGGGCCGUGUCAUAUCUGAGGGCAUCACACCAACCUUUUUGACGGGACUUGCUGCUGUCUUUGCGAUCUACUAUGUAUUCAACCUUCAGUAUCAGGAAGAGGCAGCCUGUACUCUGGAAUUCAUUCAGAGGCGCUUCAUUGGUAUCAACCCAGAGAGGAACAAAGGCCAUCCGGGGCAAGGUUGUCUCCAAGAAGACGGCUGUGAUCGUCCAGAAGAAGUCUGCCACAGUCAACACACACAUCUCCACACCACUGAAGAACCUCCUUGACUUUGAAUGGGACUUCAUAUAGUGGCAAGACUGGUAAGGAGAGGAACAAGGACCAGCAAGGUGUUGGUCAUCUCUACCUGAACCAGAAGAUUCCUCUUUCUAUCAGGACUGUCCGCACCCAUCCAGAAUCUUCCUGAAGUCAAGCAUGCACCUACCUCACAGGACUAUUUCAAGAGGCAAAACACAAGCCCCACAUUUAGCUAUUGCUGCAAAUUUUCUAAAUGUUCUUACUGAUGUAUAUUUUUA